CUGCCGCUCUUUCGCCUCCCCUCUAAUCUCCUGUUUGCACGGCUCUCCGUCUUGUCAAAGCAGUUUGUUUAGGUCUUAAGUACAGCGGUACUUCUCCGUCUCAUCGUAUAUCUGAAAGGUCAUCAGCGAUAGACUGAAAGUCUGCCUCACUUUCCCUUUCUUUCCAACACAAAACGAUGCAAGAGGGAUAAUGUUUAAAAGCUGAGAUCAAACACUCUGGGUGAGAGAUUUAGAUUUGUAUUUGUUUUGCAAUGCAACUACGGCGAUAUCAUCUUUUACUGUAAAGGUGAAUAUGCAGCGGUAGUAUAAAGACUGAAAACAGGGAAAUAGCCCCAAUUUAGUGUAUAUCAUUGUAUUGUUAUCCAAUAAAUAAAAACAUUUUUAAAAAAGUGAAAAGUGAAAUUAAGAACCGUAACCAUCCAGGCUGGUGUCAAUCAGGAGUUGCACACCUACAGGAAUGCACGUUAUUCGCAUAAACACAAACAAGGAAGUGCAGCUCAAGGUGGACGGGUCCAUCACAAAGAUCUGUGGUUAUUUGAACCAAAUCAAAGAUCCUCAAUCUAACGACGCACAAGGAAACAAUCAGGGCAGACAAUCAAACUCACCGAAGAAAACACAGCAGGGCAGGAAGUGAAGUUAACCAGGGACACGAGAGGCAGGAAACUACAAAAUAAAACAGGAAACGAACCCACACCGUGACAGGAACAAACAGGUUGACGCUGGCUGUCACGGGAGAAACGAGGAGCAACUACAUGUGAGAUAUCACCCGAACCCCUGUAUUACUAUUCUUUGAACCAUUGCAUAGUUUGCCUACCAGAGCCCACCAACAAUUCAGUUUUUACAUUGUAAAAUAAUUCUUUAAAACACAUUCCAUAUAAAAAACGAGGUGUGUAUGUUAUGUGUUGUUCGUAGGUCGUAGAUAUGGUUGAAAUCUAACUAAAUGAUACUAUAGUAGAAUAUAAAUGUGUUAAUUGAUGCGCUUUAGAGGUGCUGGCCGGCACAUCUGGUUAGCUGUUCCCGUCUUUAUGCUAAACUCAACUAACUGCUCUCUCUGGGUUCAUAUUAAACAAACACUCAUCUCACUCUGCACAGUGUCAUGGCGUCUAUUCUUGCCUGACUGCUCCUUUGAUAUUCUGUUCUGUGAUCAGGAAUACACGGGCAGUGUGAGGUCAUACCUGUUCUGCUUCGUAAUGUCAUAGAAGAAAAACUCACAAAUCUGACAGCAUAACCGAACGUCGCAGACAGGUGAUGCUCCCCGACGGGACCUGCAGCUCAGCACAGAGACGCGCUUGUUUUUCGCCUCUGCACCUCGGCAGUGACUCACGCUGCAAGGCGGUGCCAACAGACAGCGUCUGACAGUUUGAUGUUCAUGCCGUCAAAAAAUUCGUUGGUAAUUAGAGGAGGUGAUCCCGGACAGAUGUGGGAUGGGGGACCGGGGGGACAAAGGGGCCUUUUGUUGAGCUCCCGUGAAUGCUGCCACCUCUCCCAUGACAACAUUGAAAAAAACAGGCCCCCGAAGCCGUGAGGUCACAUGUUCCUCCGUGGCGCUGUUCUUCCGUCACCCCCGGGCGGGACGCCGCGUCAGGCGCCGUUAGAAGCGAGACGUCCUGUCGACUGUGGGAGCCAUUAACAGCAUGUCAUCGUUUAGAAGCUGCGAAUUACUCGACACUAAAAAGGAGCCAUUUAAACGCAGCAACUCGAUAUUUUGCCAACAGUGGAAACUAAAACACAAGCAGGUGGGCGCCGGGGCUACAGAGACGGGUCUGUGAGCUCAGGUACAGGUGACUUUAUGAGUGCAGGCGGGACACUGAGCUAAACUACUACUUACUGCCAGGAAAUUAAAUUGUGUACUUUUAUGAGCUUUUAGAAAAAUAAACACGUGGUUUAAGCGAGAGCUUUGCUUCCAAAACACGGUGAGAAAAUAUUUCCACUGAAGAUACGAUGUGAGAAAAGCUUGUAAUACAAAUGCUAUUAUUUUGCUGUGAAGAGUACGGUACCUUUAAUGCCUGUGAGGAAACAUUGCUGAAUCGAAUCAGAUUUGUUCACCUUUUCAGACAGUUUUGUUGCAUCUGCACCAAACUUAAGCCAAUGGGUUCAAAAGAAAAAGUACAACUUGCCAACUAAGUGUCUCUAACUCUUAGCAAUGACAGCAAACAGGAUAUUAAGUAACAGUAAUAAUAUUGUGUUGUUUCCGGAUCCCAUGGGAAAUAAAACGCGUGAGACAAAGCCGGAAUAUGUUAACAAAAAAAACGCCACUAAACUUUGUAUAAACAUGUGUAUAAACUCCAUUCACAGGUACACAGCGGACGGUGAGGACGGCCACAGUAACCACGCUGUAAGCCGUGGUCAUCGGCCCGUCCGACUGUCACGUGGCACACGACAAAGUGCUUCUCGUGUGCCGUGACACAUCAACACCUGUGCAUGAGAGCGCAACGUGGAAAAGAUAAAUAGCACUCAGAGAAUCCCUGAAGGUUCUGACUGAACAUUGAACUACUCUGCAAGGUGAAGACUAAUAUUUCAAUUGGAAGAUUACCACGGAAACUAUUCAAUGUCCUUUUUUUUAAUACAGCGACACACAAGAACCCACUACGGGUUAUUUAGUACCGGAUAUCAGUAUUCACAAAAUCUGCCCCAAACUGCAAACGUCCCAUAAAAAGAGCUUUGCACUAAUCAUUCGAGCAAAGCACUUAGUUUUUACAGCAGCUGGUUUGUUGUCAAACCAACAGACUGAACCACAGACCUGGCUUAUCCUCCUGCAGCGUCACAAACACCCACAUCCUUUUAUUGACUUUCCCCCCCCACGCCGGCCCACCUGGGCAGCGCGUCAGAGGGAAGCGCAGGUAGCCGCCAUAAACACUCGUCAGGGGGGGCGAACGAAGGGCCGAGAGUCCUUUUUGUUGCACACCCUGGUUUUAUGAGAGAUGACCUGGAGCCAUUAAACGGCAGUAAAGGACACGCUGUGGCAGCUUAAGUGCAUCGGAGCCAGAGGUCGAAGUGUACGCUCGCUCAGCGUCGCUGUGGGGAAAGUGGAUUCCAGAUGUGACUGGUUUGUCGUUCACUUGAUUGGGACAAUUCUGCGGUGCGGUUUCGGCGGUCUUGAGCUUUUCUCACAACCAGACCACCCGAAGAACAUCCUGUAAUGACUUGACUGAAAUGUGGGCCAAGUGUGCCGUUUUUAUAACAAAUUAAACUGAUUAUUUUCUCUGCCGGGAUUUGUCAACGGCACAAAGAUUAGAGAAUGUGAUAGAAAAAAAGCCUAAAAACGUUGUUUCACGAGCUGCAGCUCUAUUAUCAUUGUGGAUUAGCCAAUUAAUGCCAGUCACAGUCUCCCAAGUGGCGCAAACAGAAGACCAGUUACUACUAAUCGUUUCUAACGUAUCUGCAUUAUUUACCAUCUUUAAAGCUGCUAUUUCUGCACGAUCUAAUUCCUGAUCAUGUGUCGCUGGUGGUGAUGAAUCUGCGGAGCAUUUCAUCAGAUUAUUGAUUUCUUUCUCCAAACGCUUUGGAUGUCUCCCGACACCCUAAGUUCCUCAGAAUAAAGCUCUGGAAACGUAAGGAACCAAAACAAGACCACCACCGAAACGUGGCUCUGUCACCAGCGGGUGAACCUAGUGGAGCAUCCAGCAGAAGAAACUAUAAAAAACCACAUUCUAGCAGUUUGGACUUCUUUAUUGCCGCACCAUUGCAGUCCUGAGAAUCGAGCACGCAAUCAGUCAGUCAUGUGACACGUGCACGGCCAGGCUCCAUGCAAGAAGGGGCCCUUCGCCCGGCCCGAAGAGUUUUGUUGUGCUACACCGAGGGACCCGGGCCUUGGUAUUGAGCAAUAUGCACGGCUUUGUGCGACAGGGGUCCGCCCCCCUCAUGCUCUGCUCAUGUUUUAUCUCCCCCCUCACAAUGGAAGAGGCCCCCGCAAACAGCCACCUUCACACCUCUCUUGGCGCCUCUGCUGAAUGAGCUCAAGCACCCCUCCAUUCAUAGAUGGACAAAUAGUGCGAGGAAAAUAGAAGAUGUGGGUAAUGGCGGCAGUAGUGUGCAGCCUUUUCUUCUCACUUAUAAGAGGAAAAACUAAAAAAAAAUAUUCUACCACGUACUGAGAUCUUUGUAUGAAAGAGGAAUUAUUGCCAUUGAAAUGUUUAUAGCUUUUUUUUUUCUCUGAAAAAGGUGAUUAAGGAACAAAAUGUUUAAGAAUAGGUCCCCCCCCCCCCCGAAAAAAAGCUUUGGAACCUUUAUGAAAGUGCCAAAUAUGAAUCAGUGCGCUGCGGAUGCCAGACAGGCCUUUCCUGUGUUGCUAAGAGAGCUCCUUGGGGGAGGGUGGUGG
ensembl:lncRNA